UACGUAGGGGGCAAGCGUUGUCCGGAAUCAUUGGGCGUAAAGAGCGUGUAGGCGGUCCGGUAAGUCGGUUGUGAAAGUCCAGGGCUCAACCCUGGGAUGCCGACCGAUACUGUCGGACUAGAGUUCGGAAGAGGCGAGUGGAAUUCCCGGUGUAGCGGUGAAAUGCGCAGAUAUCGGGAGGAACACCAAUGGCGAAGGCAGCUCGCUGGGACGUGACUGACGCUGAGACGCGAAAGCGUGGGGAGCAAACAGGGAUUAAGAAACC
rnacentral:rRNA from 1 species